rnacentral:rRNA from 1 species
AGGCAUGCAAGUCGAACGAGAACCAGUGGUUUCAAGUUUUCGGACGAGAAACCGCUGGGGACAGUGGCGGAAGGGUGAGUAACGCGUGGGCAAUCUGCCCUUAAGUUCGGGACAACGGUUGGAAACGGCCGCUAAUACCGGAUGUGGUUAUCCGUCGCCUGACGGGUGGACUAAAGAUGGGGACCUUUCGGGGCCUGUCGCUUGAGGAGGAGCCCGCGUCCCAUCAGCUUGUUGGUAGGGUAACGGCCUACCAAGGCUUACGGGUAGCUGGUCUGAGAGGAUGAUCAGCCACACUGGGACUGAGACACUGCCCAGACUCCUACGGGAGGCUGCAGUCGAGGAUCAUUGGCAAUGCGCGAAAGCGUGACCAUGCGACGCUGCGUGGAGGAUGACGGCCUUCGGGUUGUAAGCUCCUGUCAUUCGGGAAAAACGAGCGGGCCGUUAAUAUCGGUUCGCUGUGAUGGUACCGAAAGAGGAAGCCACGGCUAACUCUGUGCCAGCAGCCGCGGUAAUACAGAGGUGGCAAGCGUUGUUCGGAUUUACUGGGCGUAAAGCGUGCGUAGGCGGUUACGUAUGUCGGAUGUGAAAGCCCAUGGCCCAACCAUGGAAGUGCAUUCGAAACUGCGGAACUAGAGUGCAGGAGGGGAGAGCGGAAUUCAUGGUGUAGCGGUGAAAUGCGUUGAUAUCAUGAAGAACACCGGUGGCGAAGGCGGCUCUCUGGAAUGUUACUGACGCUGAGGCACGAAAGCUGGGGGAGCAAACAGGAUUAGAUACCCUGGUAGUCCCAGCCGUAAACGGUGUGCACUUGGUGUAGGGGGUGUUGACCCCCCCUGUGCCGGAGCUAACGCGUUAAGUGCACCGCCUGGGGAGUACGGCCGCAAGGCUAAAACUCAAAGAAAUUGACGGGGGCCCGCACAAGCGGAGGAGCAUGUGGCUUAAUUCGAUGCAACGCGAAGAACCUUACCAGGGCUUGACAUGGCGACCCUUCGGGGGUGGUAGCGAAAGUUACCUUUACGAUCACAGGUGCUGCAUGGCUGUCGUCAGUUCGUGCCGUGAGGUGUUGGGUUAAGUCCCGCAACGAACGCAACCCUUGUGGUUAGUUGCCACCGUCGGUGAUGAGCCGGCGAGCACUCUAGCCAGACUGCCCGUGCAAGCGGGAGGAAGGUGGGGAUGACGUCAAGUCAGUAUGGCCCUUACGCCCUGGGCUGCACACGUGCUACAAUGGUCGGUACAGAAGGAUGCAAUACCGCGAGGUGGAGCAAAUCCUCAAAGCCGACCCCAGUUCGGAUUGGAGUCUGCAACUCGACUCCAUGGAGUUGGAUUCGCUAGUAAUGGCGCAUCAGCUACGGCGCCGUGAAUGCGUUCCCGGGCCUUGUACACACCGCCCGUCACAUCAUGAAAGCCGUCUGCACCCGAAGUCACUGAGCUAACCUUUUAUUAGGAGGCAGGUGCCGAAGGUGUGGGUGGUGAUUGGGAUGAAGUCGUAACAAGGUA